rnacentral:rRNA from 1 species
CUCAGAUUGAACGCUGGCGGCAGGCCUAACACAUGCAAGUCGAACGGUAACAGGAAGCAGCUUGCUUCUUUGCAAGACGAGUGGCGGACGGGUGAGUAAUGUCUGGGAAACUGCCUGAUGGAGGGGGAUAACUACUGGAACGGUAGCUAAUACCGCAUAACGUCGCAAGACCAAAGAGGGGGACCUUCGGGCCUCUUGCCAUCGAUUGUGCCCAGAUGGGAUUAGCUAGUAGGUGGGGUAACGGCUCACCUAGGCGACGAUCCCUAGCUGGUCUGAGAGGAUGACCAGCAACACUGGAACUGAGACACGGUCCAGACUCCUACGGGAGGCAGCAGUGGGGAAUAUUGCACAAUGGGCGCAAGCCUGAUGCAGCCAUGCCGCGUGUAUGAAGAAGGCCUUCGGGUUGUAAAGUACUUUCAGCGGGGAGGAAGGGAGUAAAGUUAAUACCUUUGCUCAUUGACGUUACCCGCAGAAGAAGCACCGGCUAACUCCGUGCCAGCAGCCGCGGUAAUACGGAGGGUGCAAGCGUUAAUCGGAAUUACUGGGCGUAAAGCGCACGCAGGCGGUUUGUUAAGUCAGAUGUGAAAUCCCCGGGCUCAACCUGGGAACUGCAUCUGAUACUGGCAAGCUUGAGUCUCGUAGAGGGGGGUAGAAUUCCAGGUGUAGCGGUGAAAUGCGUAGAGAUCUGGAAUAAAUACCGGUGGCGAAGGCGGCCCCCUGGACGAAGACUGACGCUCAGGUGCGAAAGCGUGGGGAGCAAACAGGAUUAGAUACCCUGGUAGUCCACGCCGUAAACGAUGUCGACUUGGAGGUUGUGCCCUUGAGGCGUGGCUUCCGGAGCUAACGCGUUAAGUCGACCGCCUGGGGAGUACGGCCGCAAGGUUAAAACUCAAAUGAAUUGACGGGGGCCCGCACAAGCGGUGGAGCAAGUGGUUUAAUUCGAUGCAACGCGAAGAACCUUACCUGGUCUUGACAUCCACGGAAGUUUUCAGAGAUGAGAAUGUGCCUUCGGGAACCGUGAGACAGGUGCUGCAUGGCUGUCGUCAGCUCGUGUUGUGAAAUGUUGGGUUAAGUCCCGCAACGAGCGCAACCCUUAUCCUUUGUUGCCAGCGGUCCGGCCGGGAACUCAAAGGAGACUGCCAGUGAUAAACUGGAGGAAGGUGGGGAUGACGUCAAGUCAUCAUGGCCCUUACGACCAGGGCUACACACGUGCUACAAUGGCGCAUACAAAGAGAAGCGACCUCGCGAGAGCAAGCGGACCUCUAAAGUGCGUCGUAGUCCGGAUUGGAGUCUGCUUCUCGACUCCAUGAAGUCGGAUCGCUAGUAAUCGUGGAUCAGAAUGCCACGGUGAAUACGUUCCCGGGCCUUGUACACACCGCCCGUCACACCAUGGGAGUGGGUUGCAAAAGAAGUAGGUAGCUUAACCUUCGGGAGGGCGCUUACCACUUUGUGAUUCAUGACUGGGGUGAAGUCGUAACAAGGUAACCGUAGGGGAACCUGCGGUUGGAUCACCUCCAA